UUCGGAUCUACGAUCGCUACGAUGCGACUGCAGAGGUCUCUGGAAGACCAGGAGUCCUUGCCUGAGGAGAGCUGAUGGAGGAGCCGUGCACCUGGAGAACCAUGAGUCUGCCUGCCAACAAGUAGUACUGAAAGGCGGGGCAUAGGGAGGUGAUGGAGGACCUGCCUGGUGAAGGACGUCAGGGUGGGGCGAGUGACACCCGACUCCAAGGGGAUAUCCACUGAGGAGAGAGCUGAAGGAGCCAUGCAUCUGGAAGGUGCAGUUGAAAUGCUGUGUCCAGUCUGGGACGGACAGACCUGAGCUGCAUCAAACCUGUAUCUCUGACCAGCUGGAGGCCUUUAGUGAUCAACAACCGCCACUCAUCGCUGGCCUGUGGAUUCAUCUCCUUCACACUCACACAACGUGACCUUGGCCUGUGGAUUCAUCUACUCCACACUCACACAACAGGACUUUGGCCUGUGGAUUCAUCUCCUCCACACUCACGCAACGUGACCUUCUCACCAUCUGUUGCACGUUUGGAUGCACCUAGCGUGUUCCAUCGAGGGUUCCUUCCUCCCCACGGUGGGAGGGUUCCUUAUCCUUCAAGGCGUCGGGGUUCAGUGUUAGGGACAGAGUUAGGGACAGAUGGCUGCGCUGGAUUCACGAUAUACGCUUUGAUCAAAAUGGGUUCGGACAUCGGACAAAUCGCUUCCCAAAAUGUUUCAAUGUGCAAACGAUUAUAUAAAAU